CCUACGGGAGGCAGCAGUGGGGGAUAUUGCACAAUGGGGGAAACCCUGAUGCAGCGACGCCGCGUGGGUGAAGAAGCGCCUCGGCGCUUAAAGCCCUGUCAGCAGGGAAGAAAAUGACGGUACCUGAAGAAGAAGCCCCGGCUAACUACGUGCCAGCAGCCGCGGUAAUACGUAGGGGGCAAGCGUUAUCCGGAUUUACUGGGUGUAAAGGGGGCGCAGACGGCGGUGCGGGCCAGGAGUGAAAGCAUGGGGCCCAACCCCGGGACUGCUGUUGGAACUGGGUGGCUUGAGUGCAGGAGGGGUAGGCGGAAUUCCUGGUGUAGCGGUGAAAUGCGUAGAUAUCAGGAGGAACACCGGUGGCGAAGGCAGCCCGCUGGACUGCAACUGACGUUGAGGCCCGAAAGCGUGGGGAGCAAACAGGAUUAGAUACCCGAGUAGUC
rnacentral:rRNA from 1 species